CUCGGAAAUUUUAUUAGAAUGGGAGCAAGACAUAACAUAAGGCAGAGGAUUAGUAUGAGAAAUUAGGAAUGGAAGCAUCUGCUGUACUACAGGCAGUAGCCAUACUGGUGGUCUGGGGGUUAAGGGAGCAUUAAAUUGUUGAAGCUAGGGAAACCCCGAUAAUUAAGGGAAGAAAAACAGCCCGCUUUUGGAUGUUAUUGCUGGAGCUGAGCUGGGAAGCUAGUUCAGACAAUUCUCCUUUGCUAUAUAGGGUUAAGCUAGGCACUAAAGAUACCGGAACGCAAAGGGACUGGGUGAUGGAGGUAUGGUUAAGAGUUUUAGAUAGAGUUUGGUUACACCAAAAGUAGCCUCCAACAGGGGCCGUCUGGGUCCUGCUGGGAGCUUAUGUGCAAUUACACCAUGAAGAGUUUGGCGUAGAGUAGCAAAAAAAGAAUCUCUGUCUCACUCUGUCUCUCUUCAUCUCUGUCUCUUCAUCUCUCUCUCUCUCUUCAUCUCUCUCUCUCUCUCUCUCUCCAUCUCUGUCUCACUCUGUCUCUCUCCAUCUCUGUCUCUCCCCAUCUCUGUCUUUGUCUCUCUCCACCUCUGUCUCUGUCUCUCUCCAUCUCUGUCUCUCUCCAUCUCUGUCUCACUCUGUCUCUCUUCAUCUGUCUCUACCCAUCUCUGUCUUUGUCUCUCUCCACCUGUCUCUCUGUCUCUCUCCAUCUCUGUCUUUGUCUCUCUCCACCUCUGUCUCUGUCUCUCUCCAUCUCUGUCUCUCUCCAUCUCUGUCUCACUCUGUCUCUCUACAUCUGUCUCUACCCAUCUCUGUCUUUGUCUCUCUCCACCUGUCUCUCUGUCUCUCUCCAUCUCUGUCUUUGUCUCUCUCCACCUCUGUCUCUCUCUCUGUCUCUCUCCAUCUCUGUCUCUCCCCAUCUCUCUCUCUGUCUUUCUCCAUCUCUGUCUCUCCCUCUGUCUCUCUCCAUCUCUGUCUCACUCUGUCUCUCUUCAUCUGUCUCUCCCCAUCUCUGUCUUUGUCUCUCUCCACCUGUCUCUCUGUCUCUCUCCAUCUCUGUCUCUCCCCAUCUCUGUCUUUCUCCAUCUCUGCCUCUGUCUCUGUCUGUAUCUCUUUGUCUCCAUCUCCAUCUCCGUCUCCAUCUCCGUCUCUGCACCUCCCGCUCACCAAGGCUGCUCCCCUCACCAACUCCCCUACCUCCUGGCUUCUCCCUAUCUCUGACUCAACAGGGACUGAGUGCCGCAGAGGCCCUUGGGGAGGUCUGGGCUUUCUACUGCCUUCUGGUUACAGCCUCUCCUUCCCUGUAUCUGUCCUUCAUCCUGGCCUAAUGAGUCCACAUUUUAUUUAGGGAGAGGGCAGAGUGACAACCCUGGGUUGGGGGGGGGGGGACAAUCUGCAGUGCCCUGCAUGACUGAGUGUAUCUGGUUGUCUGUAGACCAGGUUUAGAAUCUCCAUACAAAGUUAGGAUUAGUAGGAGUAACUAGGGGAAUUAGAGUGAACCAUAAUAAUGAUGACAAAGGUGUAGAGGGUAAGUUCAACAUUGCCGAAAUCACAAAGGGCACCCUGCCAAGCUAGGUCUUCUAUGAGAGUAAAAAGUUGGGAAACCUACUGGUUGGGGGAUGGGUCGGGAAGGAGGGUGUCUAUGGGGUUUAUGAGGGAAAAGUCAGUUAAGUUAAGAUGAAGAAUGGUGAGGAAGCGGGGAAAAUUUGAGGAGGGUGUUGAUCCUUGAGUAGAACCUGGCCACCUGGAGAAAGGGAAGGGGAAUAGAUGUUUUGAGUUAGGUUAAGAUGUUUCGUCCCAAGAGGGGGUGGGACAAGAGGGCAUGAUGAGGAAAGAGUGGGCAAAGCAUGCAUAGUCCAGGCAGUAACUUAGCAUUGGGGUCUGGCGAGGGUUAGACGGUUUACCGUCUACCCUAAUUACUGAGAUAGUGGAUGGCUGGCUAGAACCUCCAUAGGUUGACAAAACAGAAUAGGUAGCCUCCGUAUUGAUAAGAAAAGAAGUUGGCUUACCCGCUACCUGAAGAGUUAC
rnacentral:lncRNA from 10 species